GGAACUAAACCUUAUUUGUUGCCAGGGAAAGAUGUAACCUCUACACUCUCUUAUAUCCAAAUUCUUAUAUAAUUCAUACGCUUGCAUAUGCUUGAUUUAUUAAUUGUUGGGUUCCUUACCUAUAUUUAAUGCUUUUAUCGUUUAACUCAUUCGGCAAAUGUUGCUUGUCUUUAUUGAUACAGGAACGUACAAUAAUGUCAUGAACUGGGGGGAAUUCCUUGAUUAUGCUAAUAUCGCCUAGGGAUAGGGGUAGGAUGAUCAAUUGUAUUUUGCUUUUGUUUAUUAUGCAUUAUUAGUUACUAGGGGAGGCUAGAGAUAGCAAGUCGGUAAUUAGUAAUAGGCUCUUUUCGCCAAGGGAUUGUGUUAAGGGUAGACCAAGAAAGUUUGCAUGGGAAUAUGAUAAAUAAGCGAAUUAAAUAAGAAAACUAGAUAUAUGAGAGUGAUUGGGUGAAAUUUGAACCCUAGCAACAAAUUCAUCUCAUAUUAUCAACAUCAUCCAUCCACUUUUUUGUUUAACCUCAAUUGAUCAAAUUCCAUUCAUGUUUAUUUUUCUGUACUUUAUAUUCAAAAACCCCGAAAAUAUUUCUUAUAGUCUUGAU
rnacentral:lncRNA from 1 species